rnacentral:rRNA from 1 species
UACGGGGGGGGCAAGCGUUGUUCGGAAUUACUGGGCGUAAAGGGCUCGUAGGCGGCCAACUAAGUCGGACGUGAAAUCCCCAGGCUCAACCUGGGAACUGCGUCCGAUACUGGAUGGCUUGAAUCCGGGAGAGGGAUGCAGAAUUCCAGGUGUAGCGGUGAAAUGCGUAGAUAUCUGGAGGAAUACCGAUGGCGAAGGCAGGUCUCUGGGCCAUAACUGACGCUGAGAAGCGAAAGCAUGGGGAGCGAACAGG